rnacentral:rRNA from 1 species
AUGAAGGAUGCUGCUGUAAGCCAUGCCACCCCAUCAGCAAGCGUUGAAGUGGAUGCCCCCGAGACCAACCUAAGCAAGGAAGAUUCCCGCUCAUCUGACACUGAUUCCAAGCGCGUGUGUGGUGCCACUCAUGUGUCCACGGCAGAAGUGGCUGAGGUGGCAGUUCAUAAUGAUAUGCCAUCUACAGGUGAGAGUCUUGGCAUAACAGCUCUAGCUCCUGGCGGUGCAGAUAUUGCUAAGGCCACUGUUUCACGUGCUAGUCUUCCACCUAGGCGUUGUAGCCCCCGCAAGCAAUCAACAGACGUAUCCAACGCACCAGCUACAGCUAGGAGCAGCAGAGAUGAGUCUGGUUACGUCCCAGCGUCCACACUGUUCCCGCCAACUGCCAAAAGCAAUGUUGUGGAGAAACCAGAAGACCGGAGUACAACUGAUGCAGGUGCCAAGCCGGGCACGAGUGAUGAAGAUGAACGUCCUCAGCAGACUGCGCCUUUACCCGCAGUGGAAAUCCCCUGCUUAAAUCUGCGCACUUCCAAGCUCCCAAUCAACAUCGGUGUCCCCUACAGCCCCAACAAGAGGAUUCUCAACAAAUCUACGCCCGUCACCGCUGAUAGCAUGCCCCGCCCUAUUGACAAGCCUGAUGAUUCUGCAGCGGCUGAUUCAGAUAUGUUUGUUGAUCUUUCACCGUUGGAUUCUGCCCCGCAAGUUGUUCGCGGUCCAGCCAGUAGGCAUGAGAGGCAUCCAAUGGCCUUCACCCCACCGAGCUUCAGCCUUGGCGUUAGUCAAGAUCAACCAGUGGUUCAAGAUCCUAUGCCAGUUGCCUUUGCUUUUCCGGGAGGCAUGCCCGCAAUGAUGGCGCAACCAAUGGUUGAGGGCAAGAAGGCUGUCAAGUUCGCAGAGCCAAUCGUCCAAGGCACCCCUGAGGAGAUUUCGCUGUCUCUUGAUGAAGCUUACCAUAGGAUUGAGGAGGCAGCAUUGUAG